UUUUCUUCGGAAAUGAAGAUUUUGUGACUGAGUGGCGGACGGGUGAGUAACGCGUGGGUAACCUGCCUCAUACAGGGGGAUAACAGUUGGAAACGACUGCUAAUACCGCAUAAGCGCACAGGAUUGCAUGAUCCGGUGUGAAAAACUCCGGUGGUAUGGGAUGGACCCGCGUCUGAUUAGCCAGUUGGCAGGGUAACGGCCUACCAAAGCGACGAUCAGUAGCCGACCUGAGAGGGUGACCGGCCACAUUGGGACUGAGAUACGGCCCAGACUCC
rnacentral:rRNA from 1 species